UUCUGGCUCAGGACGAACGCUGGCGGCGUGCUUAACACAUGCAAGUCGAGCGAUGAAGCUUCUUCGGAAGUGGAUUAGCGGCGGACGGGUGAGUAACACGUGGGUAACCUGCCUCAUAGAGGGGAAUAGCCUUCCGAAAGGAAGAUUAAUACCGCAUAAGAUUGUAAUAUCGCAUGAUAUAGCAAUUAAAGGAGUAAUCCGCUAUGAGAUGGACCCGCGUCGCAUUAGCUAGUUGGUGAGGUAACGGCUCACCAAGGCGACGAUGCGUAGCCGACCUGAGAGGGUGAUCGGCCACAUUGGGACUGAGACACGGCCCAGACUCCUACGGGAGGCAGCAGUGGGGAAUAUUGCACAAUGGGGGAAACCCUGAUGCAAGCAACGCCGCGUGAGUGAUGACGGUCUUCGGAUUGUAAAGCUCUGUCUUCAGGGACGAUAAUGACGGUACCUGAGGAGGAAGCCACGGCUAACUACGUGCCAGCCGCCGC
rnacentral:rRNA from 1 species